UACGUAGGCGGCAAGCGUUGUCCGGAAUUACUGGGCGUAAAGCGCGCGUAGGCUGCUUUGCAAGUCGGGUGUGAAAUCCCCAGGCUUAACCUGGGAACUGCAUUCGAGACUGCAUUGCUAGAGUAUGGGAGAGGGAAGUGGAAUUUCCGGUGUAGCGGUGAAAUGCGUAGAUAUCGGAAGGAACAUCAGUGGCGAAAGCGACUUCCUGGACCAAUACUGACGCUCAUGUGCGAAAGCGUGGGGAGCAAACAGG
rnacentral:rRNA from 1 species